GACGAACGCUGGCGGCGCGCUUAACACAUGCAAGUCGAGCGAAGCGACUGACUGGUGAGUAACACGUGAGUAACCUGCCUUAGACAUUGGGAUAGCCUCGUGAAACCGGGAUUAAUACCAAAUGGUCUAAGAUGGACUCGCGUCCCAUUAGCUAGUUGGUGGGUAACGGCCCACCAAGGCGACGAUGGGUAGCCGGCAAGUGAGGGUGGACGGCCACAUUGUAGCUUGGAAACGGUCCAAACUCUACGGGAGGCAGCAGUGGGGAAUAUUGCCCAAUGGAGUGAGCUCUGAUGCAGCGACGCCGGGUGAACGAAGAAGGCUUUCGAGUCGUAAAGUUCUUUUAUAUGGGAAGCGGUACCAUAAGAAAAAGCCCCGGCUAACUACGUGCCAGCAGCCGCGGUAAUAC
rnacentral:rRNA from 1 species